rnacentral:lncRNA from 1 species
UUUUUUUUUUUUUUUUUUGCCUUGAGAGAAUGUAGGCAAUUCUCUCUUGUUUUACGUGAAGUAAUGUGUUGUACAUGAUGAAGCCUAUAUUUUGCCAGUAUCUGACUUCAAACAUUCCCAUUUUCACAGUAUAACUUCUUCUCCAUAUUGAUCAAGGUCUACUGGCUUGCACUCUCAUUUACUAUUGCAUAAGCAACGCUUACUGAUUUACUCUCAAGGACGACUGUCUAACUUGAAUAGUGGAAGACUGGAAGUGGACUGUCUAAAUAUACGAGAGAAAUGUCAAUGGAAUCCCUUCUUCUUUGAUUUUUCUCGUACUGAAGACUUGAUGUUGGAUAAUUCUAGCUUAAAAUAGCGCAUAACUCCAACAGAUUUUUUUUGCUUUUGUUACGCUAGUUUAAACAGAUUUUAAGAGUCAAAUUCUAAAUAUGUAUAUGAGUUGCAACGAGGGAUGAUUGCAGCUGGGCUUGAGACCGUGAGGUGAUCGUACCAUAUCGGUGACUGCCAUCACAUGCAUAAAGAUGCGGGAGUUUGGCAAUGAUGGCAUUUGUGGGACGCGAAGAAGGGGAUUGAUGGAUUGACAUCUCUCCCGUUCAACCUUUGUUUAGUUCAAAAUUAUCCCAAAAAAUAUUUCGCUUGCAUCACAAACACAUUUCCCAACCUGCCUUUUUAUAUUCCCAACUACUUUUUAUCUCACAUACAUCACAUCACAAAAAGUGUUACAGUAAUUAUUCCAAAUAAUAUUUCAAAUAAUACACUAUCCAAACAAACCCACAAUUUUGUUGUAAUCCAGAGUUUUGCAUACAUUGAGCACAAAAUUUGUGUUUAUUAGUAUUUUUAGUACACCCUAAGUGGGUGCUUAAUUCAUGAAAACGUAUGAUUAUUUUUUUCAUAUUAAGUUACAUAUCAUGACAGACAUAUAUGUAUUUAUCUAAAAAAAAAAAUCUAAAGUUCCUACUUUAGAGGAAGAUAUUGUAUUUAAAAUCAUAGUGGAGAAAAAAAUAGGGAUGUAAACGAGUUAGUGUGAGUAAGCGAUUGUGACAAAUUUUUUUUAACAAUAUAUUGGUAUCAGUUUACCCUUAUAAUUAAAGGUAAAUUAUAAAUUUUAAAAGUGAUACCGUAUGUUUACACCACGCACCGUUACACUAUAUAUACUAGUAUCCAAGGCACACAUUAAUAUAUGUACAACUAGUAAGAAAAAUGUUUGUCAAAUUUGUGGAGUACACAUAUAGAAAUUUUACCAAAAUAAAAAGUAUAAAAAAUAGUUAUUUGGUAGUAAUUCGAAACCAUAAUUGGUAGUUACCAAUGAAAAUUAAGAUUUAUUAAAUAAGUUGAAAGUUAAAAUAAAAAAUAUAUAUUACUUGAUAGAAAUUAUAUUAAUGGUGGAUAAGUGUAUCAAGAGUAGUUUGGACACGCACACACACAGCGAAUUGGACACGCACACACACAACGAAAGUUUAGGGACGAAAUUGGCCAUUUUCCCAAAUUAGAAUUGGAGAGGCCCAUUUCGGAUGGUUCGUUGGUUAGCUACUUGGCUUUUGCGCGCUUUAAGCCUUAAACGCUUGAAUUCGCUCUCACGAACAAAACGUCCCUUCCUAAGGAUCUCUCUUAUGAUUUCUACUUCCAUCUGACGCCAUCAAAAUGACUGACACCAACAAAUUGUCUACAUAUCCUAUCAAUCACUGGAGUCGGCAUAGUGACAUCAAACCUUAACAUCUGUAAAUAAUUUUUGUGAAUUUUUAUGGCCCAUUAUCACAUGUGCUUUAAUUUUUUUGGGCCACUGCAUAUUCUCGAUAUGUCGAUUAGGUGCAGAAGACCCCACACACCAUUCAAGUGGGACAAUUGUCAUACGCUUUCUUAUGGAUCACAUACAACACCAAAGCCUAGAUAAGUUCGUUCAAUUGGUAAAAUCAAAUAAUUUUCUUAUAAAAUAGCUCGUGUUUAAAUUUUGUUAUCGACACGAGAGCUACAUUGACAAAUAAUUUGUAAAAAUUUCUCUAAGCAACUUAUAAUUUCAGAGUCAUGCGUUAAUUUGUGAUAGUGAUCGAGUCGAAUUCAUCCAAAUUUUUUAUUAUAAAAAUGAAAAUGAAAAACAGCACCACAUGGUUUAGCCCACAUAUGUUGCAUAUUAUGUUGAGCCGAUCCAUGCAAAAAGUUUGGCUAAAGAUUUUGCCAGAAGAAAUGAGUUGGGUGGAGGAAUUGUGAGAAACUAAGCUCCGAAGAUUCUAUACUCUUUUUUUUUUUUGACAAUACAUUUGCAUGGGCACCAGAAAAGAAGAGCAACGAUUUCUGGUCUGUCCAUUUAGCACCACGGGGCAAUCAAAUUUUGUCCUUGCUAGAAUUUGUGCCAUGGACCUGAGUUUGAGAUCGGAUCAUCCAGCCUGGAGUUGGACUGUCGAGUCUACCUACCCCAGCUUAGGCCAUAUCAGUCAAUUUUAAUGGGCUUGUCUCUGCAUGAAAUGUGGCUGUUUUGUUGCGCAAAUUCUUGCUCACAUAUGCAGAGCAAAGUCUCCGUUCGGUAAUGGUUCACGUCAUUCAUUUACCCAUUUGAUUUUGAGACCCACCGAAAAAGAAAAAGACUCUCAGCCCAUUGCCAAUAUCCUUCCGCAGGUUAAGUGUAUCCUCGGGACUGGUUCUUUAUUACAAAUUUGUAGAUGUAGAUUCGGCAUUCACUUUAUUACAUUGUAUUUCAGAAAACGGCCUUCUUUGGAUUGUUAAUUUUUCUCAAAAAAAGAAUUUUUUUUGUGAAUAUUCAUUUUACAUAUUUCUUAAUUUUUUUCACCUCACAUCUCAUAAAAAAUGCUAUAGUAAUUUUUUUCCAAAAACUUGCCGAAGGUGCAAUCCAAACAACCUCUCGUUUACAAAACAGAUCAUAGUUUUCUAAGAAGAAAAAGAUUUAUAAACUUGUAAUUUGGAAAAUAAAUUUUUUUACUACAUCAUAUACAUGCUUCCAAUUAUCUUUCAAUCUCAUUUGCAUACAUUACAAAAAUAUAUAUAUAUAUUAUGAAAUUAUUUUAAAAAGUUUUCCCAAAUAAUUUUCUAUCUCUAUAAUAAUUAGCUUUUGUUUGGAUACACCAUUUUUUUUAUAAAAAAAAUAUUUUGCUUGUAUCAUAGAUGCUUUUCUGAAUCUCCAUUUUAUUUUUUCAAUUAAUCUUUUUAUUUCACAUACAUCAUAUUACAAAAUAUGUUACAAUAAUAUUUCAAAAAAAAAUCUAAAUAAUCGUCUUUCUAAACACACAAGUAUCUUGAACUCGUUUAGUCGAUGAUUGCAAUCUAGGGCCUGUCUGGGUGGCCCUUUUUUGCUUGUUUAAAAAAAAAAAAAAGAAAUUUGAUUCAAACACUGUCUACAGUAAAUAUCAAAGACCCGUACGGUUUCGAAAGCAUUAAAAAAUACAUUAAAUGCGAAAUUGGUGGCAGAGGCGAGUACAAUGGUGAGCGGCAAAAAUUCGCGAUGGUGGUUGACAGGUGAUGGAGGGAGGGAGAAGUGUGUUCUUGGUAUUUUCAACAAAUAUCAAUAUUUUUUAAAAAAAAUAAGUACAUUUGUAGUAAUAGUUUAGAUAAAUACUCAGAAGAAACACACUACUCGAGCAGAGUCUGUAGAAAUAUUGAACAGCCUGAAACUACUGGUCCAUGCUCGAACUCCAGAAAAAUCAUAUAGCAAAAUGCUUUUUAUAGAAAACGAGGCUGACCUCUCAGAGGCAGAGUAUGAUUACUAAAUCCUUUGCGGCUUGUGGGUAGGGACGCUAAUAAGUCGUUGCUCAUAAAGAAAAUUCCAAAAAAUUAAGAAAACAACACCGCUAAGGAAAAACUCAGGUCAAUUCAGAAGCAGCAAUGGUUAGACUGAGUGCAGAAGGGACCAGCCAGCAUAGAAGGCCUACCGAAUAAUUUGCUAGACGGAGAAGGGAACUAAAUUGGUGUUCUAUAGCAAAUACUGGGAAGCAUGACCACUGUUACAAGCUUGACAGCUGAAUUCCGAGUCUUUGCAUUUACUUGCGAAAAGCUUACUCGGUAAAGAGGAUGCUUAAUCUGACUACUUUUCGACUCUGAUGGGGCAACAAGAAUCCCCUAGCCUCUAGGGAACUCGUUAUUAAUGAACAUCUAGCUUACCUCUCCCAAAGGAAAGCCCGGAAGAGGGGCAGAAACGAUUGCGGGAAGAAAGCAAUUAUUUUUAAAGGUUCGUGGCCAAGAUUUGGCAAAAAAAUAUAAGAUUCAGAUUUAAUAUUGUAUCUCAUUUUCACAUCAUGGGUAAGGCUUAAAACGACAACCAGAAAUUUUAGCAACAAGAGACUGAAAACUUCUGCAGAGGCUGCUUGAGUAUCCACCACAAGCCUAGAAGCCUCUGUUAUUUUAAGGAUUAUCUUACAGGGGCGCCUUUGAAAGUAGUUCUUACUUUUUCAUCCAAAAAGAAUCUACAAAAACUGUUAGCAUUAAGCGCAUCGAUGGAGCCACUGCUUCUAUAAUUUGUUUUAUUAAUCCUUUCUUUUAAUUUUAAUUUUAAUGUUUUGGGUAAUUCCCUUCUUUUAAUUUUAUCUUCUGGUGGACUUUGAUCUAGCUAACAAAAAGUAUUGAACUUCUUGUUCCACGGCUCCCGCAGGUAGUGAAGCAAAAUUUGCCGGAAUGCAUCAUUUCCCCUGUUAACCGCAAGGGAGAACCUGCAAACCAUGUCAUAGUUAAAAGGAAAAAAAAAUGCCCAAAACAGAGAACCGGGUGAACGGUGGGAGGCUGUGUUUAAUAGAAGGCUUUAAUAAUUCAACGUUGACAAUGUCAGUUCCUCAUAUUUGUAGAACCAUCCACAAAUAAAUUAGAAAAUUACAGAAGCUACAAACAUAGAUGACCCAAAAAUGUAACUUGGAUCAGGAAAAGAAAAAACUAAUCCUAACUCCUAAGGCCUAACCAACUUCAGCAGUAAUGUUCUGCAUCAUUAAUGCUAAUAUACAAAAAGUAAGAUGAGUAACAAACAAUUAAUAGCAGGCGCUAUCAGGUCUCCUUUCAAAACAAGACUGGAUUUGGACAUGUGGUUCCCUUGUCGACAUCAUUUUAAAUAGAAGAUCAAGGUCGGGAUGCUGGAAGUACCCAUCCUUGGGCUUCUGGGGCAUGCUCCUCUGCUGCUGCUUCUGCUUCUGCUUCUUCAUGUAAACUCGUUUCCUUUUUGGGGCUGGCGGACACUCCGCCGCCGCCACCGGAAUCCUGGACCCCUCGUGCGUCGGUGUCCUAUAGCCUUCCUCCACCUCCUCUUCCCCCUUCAUCAUCCCAAAAUGAUCAUAUCCGCCACCGACCUCCAUCUUCAACGUCAUUCAAUCCUCUCGGGCUAACCAACAAAGGUACUUAGCUGCUACUAUGCAAACGAAACAAAAUGGAUAGAUAUGAACCGGAUCAGGGUCUCACUCUAUAUAUACAGAGAGCAAAAUUUAGGUGGCGGUAAUGGUUGGCAAUAUACGGCACAUGGCUUCUUGCGGAAGCUGUUAAGCUUAACUGCUAAGUGUAAUUCUUGCAUAACACAUUUUGACUCAUCCAAACUUUUGGUGGAAGCAACUCAUGACUUCGUCCCACUGGGCUUCCACGUGGCACCAAAAAAGCUACAUCCUUUUCUUUCGCCACCAAGUGGCAAGUGCAAUGACCCGAUUCGCUUGCACGGCAAUGGUUGCAAAUUUGCGGAUAAGGUGUCGGUGUAGUUGUGUUUUGUAAAGUUCUGCUCAAUUAUCAAUUGUGUUCAAUUUUUUAUGUAUAAAUAUUAUACUAAAUUCAUGUUAAGUAUUUUAUUUUUGUACAUAAUUUUUUACUAAAAAUAUAACAAUGUAAAAUAAUAUAUAAAGUAUAACAAUUAGACCGAAUCGCAUGGAACCCAACCGCACUGAUUCCUUUCCCCAAAUUUGCAAUAUUUGCACGGAAAGCAAGAAUCAAUUUCAUUGUGUAAUUACACCACGGUAGAACGAGAUCAAGGGUCAAGUUAGUGAAAAGUUUAAAAGAAGUUGAGGGAUGAUUGACACCAUAAAGCAUAAUGGUUGUGUUUGGAUUGUAACUUUUUGAAGUUUUUGUAGAAAAUGUAUGUAGAGAUUUAAUAUACGUGAGAUAAAAAGGUAAUUGGAAAAUAUGUUUACGAAAACGUAUAGAUUUUUUGAUAUCUUUUCUUUUAAAAAAAUUUUUUACUCCAUUCAAGAGAUAUUCUAACUUCUUGUUGAUGAAUGUCUUUGUAUCUUGUAAAUAAAUUAUGAGCCAUUUUGAUUGAUUUAUUUAAUGCACUAAAAAAGUUAACUAUAAUGGAUACACAUUUUCAUUUUCCUUGAGAGCCAAAAUAGAAAAAAUGAGAUUUUAAUCAACAUGAUCAACUACUAAUAAGUGCUCCUGUAAAUUAUUUUUGUUGCGUUAAUUUGUUACGCCUUGUUUGGAAAGGGAUCUUUCAUUAAUAAAAUAUCUACAUUUUUUCAUAAAUAUAUUUUUCAAUCAUAUUUUUACUUAAUAUAUAUCAAAUUAAUAUAGUAUAUUUUUUUAUAAAAACUUCAAAAAAUUUGCAAUUCAAACACAACCUUAGGAGGGUUCCAAUUUAACAAGUAGGAACCUUACUUAGCUAAUCAUCAAUUUUUAAGCAAGAGAGAGAUAAAGGGGCGAAUAAAAACCGUGCAGGGGGGCUGUAUUGUUGGGGGAGGGCAAACGACAAAAGACUGGAAAGGCGUAAGCCUCAAGACGAAGCGCGCGAAGGUGCACGGAACCGGUGGUUCGAAUCUGAACCUCUCGUUUAGACUUUAGACUUUAUAGAGUGGGGACUAUGGAGGGGGUUUGCUUUUAGGCUUUUAGCGAGCUCGAUCAAUUUGAUGAAAAGGAUAAGACUUUAUUCGACGCCUUAUGCUGAUAUGAUAAUAUUAUUCUCUUUAAUGGGGCCGGACCAACAAACAAGUACUGGGCUAAUGGGCCAGGCUAAGGGCUACAGAUGGUAACACGUGUAACAAGAAGGGCUGAUAACGUCGUUUUCGUGUGGACUCAGGACUGGGCCUACUUUUGGAGGAUGCAGCCCCACGUGCUGUUACGAAGUGACUCGAAAGUUUGGACUUUUGGCACCACGGCGACUCGAAGGGUAAAGAAGCUGAAGAGUGGCGUGCGUUCAUUUCCAUUUUCCACCUUACCUUUCGAGUUUAUCUUCGCUCCUGAUAUGACGUGAUUGCUCGAGAGGCCUUUUUGGUUGAACUUGAACUGGAUUCUUCUUUUUCUUUUCUUUAUGAUGAUGGGGUGGAUUCUCUUUGUUUUCUUUCAUAUUAUAUUUUUUUCCAACAAACGUUUUCUUUCGUAUUAUAUGAUAUACAUUUUACAAUAGAUGUUCAUAAGAGUAUAUUUUUGAGGUUUCCAUCCUGGGAAUUCUAGUCUUGACAAUUGGUUGAGCCUUUUGGGUUAGCUUUUCUAAUUUUUGGAAAAUUGGCUUAAUUUCUUUCCAAAAAUGAUCUUCGCACAUCGGAAUGAGAACUGACGGUCAUAUACAUGAAAUUGUAUUUUGAAUAAUUACUAACCACCAGUCUUUUGGCUGUUGGUCACCAUUAAGCCAUUUAAACUUACCUUCUAUCAAUUAUCACAUUAAGUGGCUUCUUAAAAAAAAAUUCAGACAGAUGCGUAGUGUAUUCGUUUGGUCCGGUGGUGAUUCAGUCCCCACCGGUCCCCCUAGACCCAGUUGGGUCUCCUCCUUAGAUUAGGAUAGUAUAGAAUACUAUAAAUAAAGUGAUAAUUGACACAAAAAAAAUAAUUACUAAAGUACUUAUUAAAAUGCGAUAUAUGUGAGAUAAAAAGAUGAUUGAUAAAAUUUUAAGAAAUUAAUUAAGAAUUAUGUUUGUUGUGCAAAUAAAAUAUUAUUUGAAAUAGAAUUUCCAUCCAAACACAGGCUAUAAUUUUUCUCCAGGAGCUCCCAAAGAAACAGACCAAACGGGCUUGGUAAUGCUUUCAACAAGUGGCCGAAUUCGCACUACUGGGCCAAGGAUCGUUUCCUUUUUGGUCUACCGGAUUGGUUGGCAACUGAUUGAACUUUGUGAUAUUGGACCGGUCCUGGUUUGCUGAAUGGAGUCACUAGUCAACAAAGAUUUGUUGGAAAGAUGGAAGACCAUUGAAAACAAAGCAUGUCAAGAGUAAAUACUUAAUUUAAAUAGUAAAAGGUUGUUAAUACUAGUAAAUACUUAUUUUAAAUACUUGUAUUAUACUACAACAUUAAAACCUUUAUGCACACAUAAAAUGUUCUCUAUCAAAAAUAUGAAAUCUCAAUUUGAUGAAAUUAUUCUAUUUUAAGAAAGCAAUUGCUUGAGAAAUAAACUUUUCGACACAGGAUCAGCACUUAUUAAAUCGACUCAUAAUAAAGUUUAGGAUCUAUUUUGAUUUUUGCAAAAUAAUUUAGGAAGUGUGUUUGGAUAGUAGAUUAUUUGAAAUAAAUUUUUUUUAAAAAAUUAUUAUAUCACUUUUUUAAUAUAAUAUAUGUAAAAUAAAAAAAUGGUUGAAAGAUGUGUUUUGCUCCAUCCAGUGAUAACGGCGGGUAAGUUGACUUGGGGUUUGGAAAUCAAUUGAGUUCAAUCGGAAAGGCCAACUAGUUCACAUAUUGGUCAAAUUUUCUGACACGUGAGUAAACAUUUUCUAUUGCGAUCAUUUAGUAUUUUGCACUAAAAUAUACUGUACUAGAUUGUUUAGUGAAAAUCUGUACAGUCAAUUACUGCAACAAAAGUGAUGGUUUGUGCAAGCAUAAACAAAUAAAAUGAGACUGAUACAAGUUAUAAAUACCUUUUAGUUUAAAUAUCACAAUUUAUCUGUAUCCUCGAACUUCCUUUUUUGUUAUUUAUUUCUCAGGUCAAUGAGAUUGCUUAUAAAGUUAUUGAAAUAAAAAAAUUAUAUUAAAUUCGAUUAAAAAAUAAAUCAACACUAGAGUUUAUUUCUGAGUGCAAAAACGUAAACUUUAAAUAACUCGAAUUUAUUAAUUCACCAUUCUAGUUCUAGAAUUCUACUCCUGUCCAUCUGAUUUAAAAAAUGUGUAUUUCGAUUAGAGUUCUAGAAAUUUACUCCAGUCCAUAUUUUAAUAAGGAAUUAUUUACACAAAUUUAUCUGUUUACAUUAUAAAUAUAUUUUUAAUUACUUUUUUAUAUCAUAUAUAUUAUAUCAAAAAAUAUUUUUUAAAAAAUUAUUCCAAAUAAUCUUCAAUCCGGAGGCAUUCCAAUGUAACUUAGCCGGUUCAAUUAAACUGGUAAACUUGGAGGAGGGAUGGACGCAGAGCUGAACCGGUCCGCCCUCACCAGGUAGACGCUAAGAAAGCCGCUUCAUGAAAAGGUUCUUCUUUCUCUGCACAUAAAACCUCCUCACCAUGUGCAGCUGAGGUGGGAAAGUAACUAGGGUUCAACCGCCACAUCUACAGUAAUUACCACCAAAAAAGAAAAGGAAAGAAAAAUGCCAUUCAUAUCGAAGAUAGAGAGGCAGACGGAUUACAGCCAGUUCGAUUCAACUGUCCCCAUCGUCAUCGACAAUGGCGGUUCAUAUUUCCGCAUUGGGUAACAAAAGCCCUAAUUCCUUGGUUCGCUUAGAUUAAUUUGCGUUGUGAAGUUGUGUUUUGAUAAAAUUACCGAUAAAUUACAUCCUUCAAUUAUGAUUUGGUCUGGUGAUAGCUGGGCAGGGGAGGAUGAGCCUCGGGUUAUAUUCCGGAACAUUGUUCAGAGGCCUCGCCAUAAAACCACUGGUAUCUCUUGAUAUACAUAUAUUUGUAAUUUUCACUAGUGUAAUUUUUCGGCAUUAUGCCAAUGUUAAUCUCCCUGCCUCUGAAGUUGGAUUUGAACUGAAUAUACCAUUGUGCUAGAUUUUUCCCCCAUCUUCUUCUUCUUCUUGUUUUUUUUUUUAUUUGAGCAUGACAUGAAUGAUGGAAAACUUAUUUUUAACGGGUAGGCUAGAUAUCUCUUUUAUAUACUCGUUCAACAUAAGCAAAAAUUUUUGGGUCAUGUGCAUGCCAAACUUCUUUUACCAAAGUUUUGAUUUUUGAUUAAGAUGAAUGAGCUUCAAAUGUCUUCCACCCUCAAUUUUUGGUGCUCUCCUGUAAUUGAAUUCUUUUAGUUUUAUUAUUAUUAUUAUUCCUGUAAUUGCAUGAGGGCAGUAUAUCUGCUUCUUUGUUUUUGCUGGAGCACUAGAUUGAGUGUAAUUAAUACAGUCAAAUGAUUUAUGUAUUUACAUUUGUGGUCUUUCCUGUUCCACUCAACCUAUAAUUUAUGAUCUGAAUGGAAAGAACAAAACCUCUGCAUUCACAUGUUUUAGAUUGCAGAGGUUUUGGACUCAUGGGUUCAAAAUGGUUGCUUCACAUGUUUGAAUCUACACGUAGUUCCGAACUUCUAGUUUUAUAAUUUGAUUUUACAUCAAUUAAAAGUUUUUUCUGCAUUCUUUCUAAUGCAGGUGAAACAGUCACAGUUGUUGGUGAUCAUAACCCAGCGCUACUAAGAUAUUUUGAUUGCACACGUUCAGGACCUCGUUCGGCUUUUGAUGGCAAUGUUGUGUAUCAGUUUGAGAUAAUGGAAUAUGUAAGUUUCAUUAAUUUUGAGUAGUAACUGGGUUUCAAGUUACCUUGCUGAAACUUUUCACUCUAUAUUCUCCAAUGAAUACUCUUUACUGUAGAAUGGUGAUCAACUUGUUUCAUAAUUCUAAUAGGAUAGAAAGCACACCCUCUGUGUCCAUAUGCGUCACACAGUUAGCAGUUACUUUCACCCUGUCAAUAAUGAGAUACUAAAAGUCGGUACUUUGUUAGACUCCUAAGAAGCAUGUGUUAUGUGUUACAUAUUAAUAACUUGCUUUCUCAAUCUGCAUCACAAAACUUAUCUGUCAUUUUGUAGAAAUUUUCUCAGUGAAUUACCAUCUUGAUUUUAUGAGUAUUUACUAGCCAUAUACCAAUCUUUGGAGUUUGUUAAGAAUACAAAAGCCCCAAAUCAUUCUAGCCUCUUACUGCUUUAUAUAAUAUUACCUGAGGUCAUAUAAGCAGUAUGUUUGAUAUUCAAGCAGUUUCCUCUGAAAUCCACCUUACUCUUUAUACAAGUCUGAACUGACUAAUUAACGCCUAAACGCUUAGCUUCAGUUAUAGCAAUUGUACAUCUUACAAAAUGUAAAGUUUAACAGAACAAAGAAACUCUGAUUGGCGGCUGUAGAUGAAUGUAGAAUAAGGCAGAAUACAUGACACAUAAUGUAAUUUUCCUUUUAUUUUUCAGCUUUUCGUUAAUCCAAAUUUUUGGAUAUCUUAAUAUGUUCCAUCAAGUUACCUUCAACAUGUUUGUAUGAUGCUAUUUUGCAUUGAUUGCAAACUGAAACAUCUUUGUUUCUUACAUCUACUUUAUGUUCACAGAUCAAGUUGCUGAGUUGUGUGUUUUUUCUUGCAUGUAUAGAUUCUUGACUUCGGUUUUGAUCGAUUAGGUGCUGAUCAGUCUCAGGUACUGCUACAUCACCUUUCAAUUCUUUACUCAGCUAUAUCAAAGUUAUUUUUGGUGUGAUCUGAUGUAAAAUGCAAUGCGAGGUUUAUCAAUUUGGAAGCUGCUGGUUUUUCUUACUGUCGUCAUAUUUUAUGUGAUUAUUCAGUUUUGCUUGCAAAGCUAUUUAUGUUGUAUAGCGUGAAUAGAUAGUAGCUUUAUUCUUGGAGAUCUGUUUGUCAUUGCAUUCAUCCCCCCUAGUUUUACUUAAUAAACUUUUGUGACAUUUCGUACAGACCAAAUGUUUCGUGUUGAUUUUUUGUGUGUCAAAAGUCAACUGUUCAUAUAAGCAGUUGAGAUUCUGAUUUGCACUUUAUAUAUAACUGAGGUAAAUACUGUGGGCUCAAAGCAUUGAAUGUCUUCAUUGAUCUCUUUAAAGAAUUUACAAGCUUUCUUUGCAAGUUCAAGCAGGCAAUGUUUGACAUCCCAAAAAUUCUGUGGUUUAGAAUAAGCUUUUUAUGUCAAUUUGAUUCAUUUCUUCAUGUUUAUUUUUGUGCAGCUUAUAGAUGUCUGACUUCAUUUAUGUUGUUUGCAAUAUUUAUCACUUCAUAUUUGAUUCCUGAAUUUCUUGAUUUUAGAUAUCAGCGUUGGUAAUAUUCAUGUAGUUGAUUUCAUGGCAGAACAGAUUGACCAUCCUGUUUUGAUCACUGAGUGUGCUUGCAAUCCUAUCCAGUCUCGUUGUAGAAUGGCAGAACUUCUUUUUGAGUCUUAUGGAGUUCCUUCAAUAGGUAUGCUUGCCAAUUGUUAGUUAACUGAAGCUUCUGCUUGUUUGCGCAAAUAUUUUAGUUAGACUGUGAAACAGGGAUGCAAGCCCUUAAUAUUAUUGUCAACUGCAUGUUUUAUCUUUUUAUGGAUGUAGCAUGAUUGACACACCAUGGUCACAGCAUAUUGUACUUGUAUUUCUCGUUUUAUAUGGUCUGAUGCCAUGAGUGCUUGGACUGUUGCUAUUUUAAUGUAUCACUUACUUUUUACUUUCCCUUUAGCAGCAUUUGGUGUCGAUGCCGCAUUCAGCUACAAGUACAACCAACAACUUGGAAUAUGUAAUAGUGAUGGUCUUGCAAUUUGCUCAGGAUUUAUGACUAGUCAUGCUAUUCCGGUAUGCUUCACUUGUUUUUAUUGAAGUUCAUAGUGAUUUUGUGGAUAAUUCCAAUUACAUGGAGCAUUGAGUACAGAAACAUAGCCAUCACAAAUCUCAACUAUGCGUCACCGCCACAAUUCUUUUGCUGUUCCAUUAAAGGUUAGGUUAGUUUAUUCUGAAGUUCAGUGCCAUACCAAGUCACUAUCUUGAUCUGGUGCCACUGAGACUACAAUUGGUAUUAAGUAUGAAAAGACCUAGAUAGAAUAGAUUAUAUUCUUCUGGAAGAAACAUGUUGUGCAUGUAGGGUACACCCAUCCUUAAUAAUUUCAUGAAUUUUGCCAUUAACUUUUUGUAGAUCAACACAAAUAUGCUUUGCCUAUGACCUAUUAAAGAAUUAGUUAUCUAUCUGUAUUUGCCGAAUUAUUCGUUGGAUAUGCACAACCUGUAGGCCUGUCCUACAAACCAGCCAAACACCUAAGCUUGAGCUUGGCAUCAUGGAUUCAGCCAAGUACAGCAUCAGGUAGUUCACAUGUUGCUCAUAGGUGGAUGCUGAAAAUUUUACUUUUAGUGGGCAACCUAUAAUUGACUUGUGAUAAAUAUUCUCAAACUCUACGGGGGCAAUACUUUAAUUUUGUAAAGGAGUAGUUUGAAGAAUUCCAAAUUUUCAAGGGGGGGAAAGGUAAUAUCUUGGAUAAGUAGGGUGGUGGUCCUCCCCUACACCCCUGCAACCAAAGGUCUGGGAUGGAUUGCUCGAGAUUAUUUGUGGUGCAAGGUUUGCAGAGUUUGGUGUUUGGCAUAUGUAGUGCCUUGAAUAUAAUAUUUUAGCCCAGGAUUGCUUAUAACCAGCUCAAGAUGCUUCUUUAAGGCUCAAGCUAGAAGAAGAUGAAUCACUGAGCUAUGAACCAAAUUGAGCAGCAUCCUUCUCACUGGGGACUAGGAAUGUUUGAUAGCUGAGCAAUGGUUUACUGUGGGGAAUUAUGAAGCCAGAAUAACAAAGUGAAACAUUAACACCUGCAUGUAAUACCAGUUAAUGUAUUCAGUCUCUGAUACUUAUCCUAGUAUUAUAUGAAGUACUGCACCUUAACAACUUGCAAUGGUCUACAAUGUAUAUGUGUAAGUUUGAAUUCUUAUCCAUUUUUCCUAUCACAGUUCAUAAAUGGAGAACCUGCUUACGAAGCAUGUUGCCGAACUAAUGUUGGUGGAUACCAUGUUACCGAUUAUCUGAAGCAGCUUCUUUCACUUAAAUAUCCCCAUCACAUGUAAGCUUGAGAAUGCCGAUCCCUCUGCAAAUGCAAUUGAAACUUUUCUUCAUUUGUUUUUUUAGUCUUGAUCGCUUAUUUUUUUCAAACAGUUCUAAGCUCACAUGGGAAAAAGUUGAAGACCUUAAGAUGGAACACUGUUACAUUGCACCAGAUUAUACAUCAGAAGUCCGAAUAUUUCAGGUAGUGUAGUUUGGUCUUUUUGACUUGUCUGCAACUACUCUGCUUUGCUUCUGCAAUCAUCUAAGCAAUUCUUGUAACAGAAAGGGGCUAAAGAAGCUGAAGAAAAGACCAGGUGCUGGCAGCUUCCUUGGACUCCUGCACCAGCGGAAGAACAACCUUCAGAAGAAGAGUUAGCUAGAAAGGCAGCUCUAAAGGAGAGACAGGGUCAAAGACUAAGGGAGAUGGCUGAAGCAAAGAGGUCCUCUCGAAUUAAUGAGCUUGAAAAUGACAUUAGAGGUUUGGAAUUCCUCUUAAAGCAGCUCAAGCAGGUUGAAGAGAAUAAUGUUCCUGCAUUUCUCAGAGAGACUGGCUAUGCCUCUAAACAGGAAAUAGAAUCUAAUCUGGCAAAGGCAAUACAAUCUUUACGCAAAGCAAAGGGUGAACAAGUUGAAACUGAGGAGAAGAUGGACGCUUCCAUGGCUGACAAGUAUAAUCUUGUCAAUGUGCCUGAUGAUGUGCUGACACCGGAGCAGGUGUGUGUUCCGAUUCCAUGUGUUCUGAUUCCAUGUGUUCUAACAGAUCUUUGUUUUAUAGUUUCUGUUGAUUUUGGUAUUUUCUACUGCACAGCAAUUCCUAGUUAAAUAAGAUACAAGACCAGUGAAUGGCUGCUAAAUUGGAACCACAGUAUGGUUUUCAUAUUCUGUUCGUAACUUUCAGAAAUUUAAAUUUUGCACUCUUGUUUCCAUGGCAGCUUAAAGAAAAAAGGAAGCAGUUGUUUCUCAAAUCCACAACUGAGGCCAGGCAACGAGCUAAACAGAAGCGGAUUGAAGAGGAAUUAGAAAGAGAAAAGCAAAUGAAAAUGGAGGAGGAAAAGCGCUUGUAUGUUUUUGAUUCGCAAUCUUAACUUGUCUAAUCAUUGCUUGAUGAUAGUGUAGAUAUGUAGUCUCUUUUACGUUGUAUUAUUAUUACAUUAUGCUUUGCUUCUGAAUGUAGAGAGAACCCAGAACGUUAUUUGGAGGAUUUACGUGCUAAAUACCGAGAGCUUUCUGAGAAAGUCGAGCAGCGAAAACGCUUGAAGACAAAUGGCAACAACACAAAUGGGAACCAAAAUGGUUCUGGAGGUGUGGGCCGUGGUGAAAGAUUGAAUGCUGCUCAAAGAGAAAGGAUGCGCCUCCUGACAACAGCUGCAUUUGAUCGAGGGAAGGGCGAGGACACUUUUGGUAUCAAAGAUGAAGAUUGGCAACUUUACAAGCUAAUGAGUAGAGAUAAUGAUGAUGAAGAAGAUGAGAAGUCAAAUGAGGAUGAAGCAGACCUUGCUCGCGUCUCUUCAAGACUGCGGGUUUGUGAUUUUUUUAGAUCUCACGUCCUUGGUGUGUUCUUACAGAUAUUUCUUUUAGCAAUUUCAUCCAUUUUUGCCUGUCAUAUUUGUACAGGAAAUAGAUCCGACAUUUUUUCCCAAAUCAGAGUCAGGAUCCUCGACUGCGGAGCCGCCACGAUUUCGUCCUCUAACUAAGGAAGACUUCCAGCUCAUUCUAGGAGUAGAAAGAUUCCGGUGCCCUGAGGUUCUGUUCCAGCCCAACUUAAUUGGGAUAGAUCAGUCAGGGUUGGAUGAGAUGGCUGGGGUAUCAAUAAGAAGGUUGCCGUGUAAGAACCAAGGGUUGGAAGAGAGAAUAACAAAAUCAAUCCUUAUGACUGGUGGGAGCUGUCAAUACCCGGGAAUGGCUGGGCGCUUGGAAGCUGGGAUUAGGAUGAUUAGGCCAUGUGGAACACCUAUAACAGUUGUCAGAGCAUCAGAUCCAAGUCUUGAUGCAUGGCGUGGAGCUUCUGUUUAUGCUGCUGCCAUGCAAUUCCCCAAUCAGACAUUUAGUAGGACGGAUUACUAUGAAAAGGGCGAAGAUUGGUUGCGGAGAUAUCAAUUCAACUACACACUUUGAUUGUUGUAGAUGAACUUUAUAUAUUGUUAGGGGCUUCCUUGGCUUGGUGCUAUUGAGAAGUGCUCAUAACUUGGGAAUUUGCUAUUUUACACCAUUCAUCUAUAUUUAUGGGUAUAGACUGAUGCAUCUGAAUUCUCCGAGCUGUCCGGCUCUGCUCAUUGAUGAACUAGUAGGGAACUUUUGUAGUUGUCCCGGAUAUAACAUGCGAAGUACUUCCGUAGCCUCGUGAUUAAUCUGCGAGGUUCUGCCUCCCUCUUGCACUUGUGUUCCAGAAGUUUACAAGCUGCCAAACCGGUAAAUUCAGGAAAUAAGGGAAAAAAAGGCCAAAAAAUGUGGCAGUUGUACGCACAUACAGUUCAAUCCCUACUGCUGAAAACUAAAGCGAUACCGCGCACCGAUUUCUUGCUUCUGUCGGUAGAGUUGCCUUUGUCUGAAGUUCCUUGAUUAACCUCUUACUUUGAUCGAUGGUUGAAGCCACUUUUUUUAGAGCUAAUUUAUUAUUAACUUUACAGUGCUAUUUUGAUAGAUCGUUGAAGUCACAUUGUUUAGAGUUAAUUUUAUAUACACUAACAAUAUAUAUUGUAUCAUGAUUGGAUGUGUAUCACAUUUAAACAUUGAAUUGCUAGUUAGAUGCAUGCCACGUUCAAAAGUCUAUUUUCAUCAAAAUUAUUUUUCCUUUCAAAUCCACUUUAAAGAAACAAGACCUUGAUAAUCUAUAUCUAUAUAAAUUUGAGAAGGGAUUUUUAGGAACAAGCCUCCACAAGCCUUCCCACUCUCAACUCUAUUUUCCUAGCAUUUCACAUUUAUCUUAUUUCAUAAAAAAUAUCAUGAGCACAUUACAUCCCCACGUUUCCCUCAAAUAAGGAGUUAACUUCAACUAACACUCCCACGUUCCUUCAAAUAAAAAUUUAACUUCCACUUACAUUAAAACUGUUUCCAUUUACCCGUGCGUCAGAUCUAUAUCUAUCUUAACUCCCACUAUCUCACUCCCACUAUCCCACUAUCUUAACUCAUAUUUUUGUAUUUAUUUUAAUACAUAAAAAAGUAGUGAGUUAUUACCCACCUUAUCACCAAUCAAUAUUCCCACUAUCCCACUAUCACCUUAUCACCAAUCAAUAUUCUCACUAUCUCACUCCCACUAUCCCACUAUCUUAAUUCAUCCUACAAUUACUCCUCCCUCUCAGUUUCUUAUUUGUUUUAGGUUCUCUAUUGAUUUUGUAAAUGUAUUGAUUUUGUUUCUUUUGUGAGCAGUAGUGGAAGAUAUUAUGUGCGGAGACUCUAGCAGAAAUCAACCUUCUUGCGGCCGACUUAAUUUUCCAAGUCAGUCCCCUCUGCUUUUUAAGUAUGUUUUGCUUUUCCUUUAUUUUUUGUCAUGAAUGAUAUUGCAUUGAUUUUCUGAUCAUCCAUUAUUUCUGAAAAUUUUUUACAAAAUCUUAUGAAUGGUUGUUUGCUUAUUGUUACACUGUAAAGUAAAGAUAAAAAGGUAUUGCUUGCUUUAUAUAAUUGCGGAUGGUAUAGGUUCAUGAUUGAGGGUUCUACUAUUUCUAACAUAAAUUGUAUAUUAUAAAAAUUUAUUUGUUUGUAUUACUGAAAUUUUUUAAUUAUUUUUUAUUGCACAUUUAUCACAUAAAAUAGGUGUUACGAUAGUUAUUUUCAUAAUUUUAUUCCAAAAAUGAUCGUGCAUGAAAUAAAAAAAAAGAUUUUUUGAUAAUUAAAAAAAAAUAAUUAAAAAUAGUUUAUAAUUGGAGAAAAAUAAUUCAGAUACUACUAAUAACUAAGGCACUAUACGCCCAUUAUUAAAAUUGGAUUAAUUUUUAAUUUCGUCAGAAAUCCUUUUGGCAAAAUUGCAUUAUAGCCUUUCUUUUCUUUAUCAACAAUGACAAUUACAACUACGUAAUUCAUCUAUCUAACAACAGCACAAUUCAACUCAUGGAAUAAAUAGUUCAUUGCUUAAAGUACUUAAAUGAAAGGUUAGAGUCAAGUCCUACUUAACACCUGCAAGUAAUCUAUAUCUAUAUAAAUUUGAGAAGGAAUUUUUAGCAACAAGCAUUCACAAACCUUCCCACUCUCAACUCUAUUUUUCUAGCAUUUUGCAUUUAAUUUAUUUCGUAAAAAAAAUCAUGGGUACGUUACACCCCCACGUUUCUCUCAAACAAGAAGUUAACUCCAACUAACACUCCCACGUUUUUCUCAGACAAGAAGUUAACUCCCACUAACACUCCUUACAUACCUUACUCCAACUAACACUCCUCACCCACCUUCCUACUACAUAUAGAUAUAGAUUUUCGCAGAUCAUCUCCAUGAAGGUAAGGUAUACUGGUUUCAAAAUAUAUAUGUAAUUCCGGCAUAUCUUAAAUAUCGGCUUGCACCACAUUAGUACCAAUUAUCAUUUGGAAACGAUACGAAUAUAGUGAAUAUCUAUAUCUAUAUGUAUUCAGGAAGGGAUUUUUAGCAGAAACCCUCUCCAUGCCUUCUAAACUUGUCAUACUUUUUUCUAGAUUUUUGUAUUUAUUUUAAUAAAUAAAAAAGUAGUGGGUUAUAACCCACCUUAUCACCAAUCAAUAUUCCCACUAUCCCACUAUCACCUUAUCACCAAUCAAUAUUCCCACUAUCUCACUCCCACUAUCCCACUAUCUUAACUCAUAUUUUUGUAUUUAUUUUAAUACAUAAAAAAGUAGUGGGUUAUAACCCACCUUAUCACCAAUCAAUAUUCCCACUAUCCCACUAUCACCUUAUCACCAAUCAAUAUUCCCACUAUCCCACUAUCUUAACUCAUCCUACAAUUACUCCUACAAAUUCUUCUUUUACUGAUCGACUUAAUUAACUUAUCGAGUUAAUUCCCUCACCUUCUCUCUCAGUUUCUUAUUUGUUUUGGGUUCUCUAUUGAUUUUGUAAAUUGAUUUUGUUUCUUUUGUGAGCAGUAGUGAAAGAUAUUAUGUGCAGAGACUCCACCAAAAAUCAACCUUCUUGCGGCCGGCUUAAUUUUACAGGUCAAUCCCCUCUGCCUUUUAAGUAUGUUUUGCUUUUGCUUUGUUUUUUGUCAUGAAUGAUAUUGCAUUGAUUUUCUGAUCAUACAUUAUUUCUGAAAAAUUUUUACAAAAUCUUAUGAACGGUUGUUUGCUUAUUGUUACACUGUAAAUCAAAGAUAAAAAGGUAUUGCUUGCUUAUAUAAUUGCGGAUGGUAUAGGUUCAUGAUUGAGGGUUCUACUAUUUCUAACAUAAAUUGUAUAUUAUAAAAAUUUAUUUGUUUGUAUUACUGAAAUUUUUUAAUUAUUUUUUAUUGCACAUUUAUCACAUAAAAUAGGUGUUACGAUAGUUAUUUUCAUAAUUUUAUUCCAAAAAUAAUGGUGCAUGAAAUAAAAAAAGAUUUUUUGAUAAUUAAAAAAAAUAAUUAAAAAUGGUUUAUAAUUGGAGAAAAACAAUUCAGAUACUACUAAUAACUAAGGCACUAUACGCCCAUUAUUAAAAUUGGAUUAAUUUUUAAUUUCGUCAGAAAUCCUUUUGGCAAAAUUGCAUUCUAGCCUUUCUUUUCUUUAUCAACAAUGACAAUUACAAUUACGUGAUUCAUCUAUCUAGCAACAGCACAAUUCAACUCAUGGAAUAAAUAGUUCAUUACUUAAAGUACUUAAACGAAAGGUUAGAGCCAAGUCCUACUUAACACCUGCAAGUAAUAUAUUACAAUUAGAAAAAAGAAAAUGAUUCAAGAGGAGCAAAAAACUCACCAAGCCCCUGACAUAUGUGCAAUCGUCAAGGCACUUUUGAGUAUUUAAAACUGCAUUCCUUAGUUCAGGUAACCACUUCUCUGUAAUUGUUUUCAUUUGAUUACAAUGCAAUUCUAUUAAAUUCUAUUGAUGCUAUUUCUAUAUUAAUUAUUAUAUUUUUUUUUGUUAACAGUUCUCAUACAAUGUAUCACUAUUUACACAUAAAAUAAAUACAUAAACUAUUGAUUUGCCUUUUAAUAUAUAUUUUAUUUCUAGAUCAAAGAAAUGAAAAAUCUAACUGUCCUCAAGAUCGCCAGGCAUCCACAUCACCAAUGAUUUUGCGUGAUCAUGGUAAAUAUACAGUUUCUUAUAUCGUCAUACUCAUAUUACAUACACAUUUUUUAGCUACACUAUCUUGCUAAAUCAACUAUAGAUACAAUACAAUACAAUUGUAUUACAAUUGUUCGAUUACAAUACAGUUGUAUUACAUUCUAUUGAUGUUAUUUAUAGACAACUUAGCAAUUUUAUAGAUUAACAAUUUAUUUUAUUUUAUAGAUUACCAAUUACUACAUGUACCAAAAUAUUUUUAUAUAGGGAUUACUUCAUUAACUAUGGGUGCUAAUAACAAUUCAAUUGGUGCAUAUUUUUCAUUUGAUUACAAUACAAUUGUAUUAAAUUCUAUUGAUGCUAUUCUAUAUUAACUAUUGUAUUUUUUUGUUAACAAUUCUCAUACAAUGAUAAAAAAAAUUCUUAUACAACCGAAAAAAGACGGUUCUUGAAUGAUAUAUACAUUCUAUUAUAUUUCAAACUAUUGUUAAACAGAUAUUAUAUUUUAAUUUGAUUGGUAAAAUUUUUUCACCUUUAUUUGUUCACCAUUUUAUUUUUUCCAAUAAUGUCAGCACCGUGCAUAGCACGGGUAUUCCCACUAGUAUAUUACAAUUAGAAAAAAGAAAAUGAUUCAAGAGGAGCAAAAAACUCACCAAGCCCCUGACAUAUGUGCAAUCGUCAAGGCACUUUUGAGCAUUUAAAACUGCAUUCCUUAGUUCAGGUAACCACUUCUCUGUAAUUGUUUUCAUUUGAUUACAAUGCAAUUCUAUUAAAUUCUAUUGAUGCUAUUUCUAUAUUAAUUAUUGUAUUUUUUUGGUUAACAAUUCUCAUACAAUGUAUCACUAUUUACACAUAAAAUAAAUACAUAAACUAUUGAUUUUUAAUUUAAUAUAUAUUUUAUUUCUAGAUCAAAGAAAUGAAAAAUCUAACUAUUCUCAAGAUCGCCAGGCAUCCACAUCACCAAUGAUUUUGCGUGAUCAUGGUAAAUAUACAGUUUCUUACAUUAUCAUACUCAUCUUACAUACACAUUUUUUGGCUGCACUAUCUUGCUAAAUCAACUAUAGAUACAAUACAAUACAAUUGUAUUACAUUCUAUUGAUGCUAUUUAUAGACAACUUAGCAAUUUAUUUUAUUUUAUAGAUUACCAAUUACUACAUGUACCAAAAUAUUUUUAUAUAGGGAUUACUUCAUUAACUAUGGGUGCUAAUAACAAUUCAAUUGGUGCGUAUUUUUCAUUUGAUUAUAACACAAUUGUAUUAAAUUCUAUUGAUGCUAUUCUAUAUUAACUAUUGUAUUUUUUUGUUAACAAUUCUCAUACAAUUAUAAAAAAAAUUCUCAUACAACUGAAAAAAGAUGGUUCUUGAAUGAUAUAUACAUUCUAUUAUAUUUCAAACUAUUGUUAAACAGAUAUUAUAUUUUAAUUUUAUUGGUAAAAUUUUUUCACCUUUAUUUGCUCACCAUUUUAUUUUUUUUCCAAUAAUGUCAACACCGUGCAUAGCACGGGUAUUCCCACUAGUAAUAAUAAUACGAGAUGUCAUAAUCUCUUUAUAAGGAUAAUAAUUUUACGACAGAUGAAUGUAGUGAUCUACAAAUUUCAUCUUGACGAACAAGAUACAGUGAACUCCAUGGCUGAUCACCUAAUCUCCCCGAAUUUGCUCGUUCAGAUUUAUAGAUUUUUUCCCCUCCAUGAAUGACUUCCUUGGUCCUUCCCAAAAGGGGUAAACUAAGAGCUGAUAUCUCCACUGAACUCUCCAGUAAAGAAUAACAACAUCAGCCCGGUCCACGAACGGCUACUUUUUCGCAAACCAACCCAAAAAAUAAAUCAGAUAAUCAAAGAGUUAAGGCUCCUCCGCCCAUAUGACGAAAAGUUCCACAAGGCUUCCCCGGCACAAAUGACCGUUAGAACAUGACCAAUCUUCUUCAAAUCCCUAAACGCCCUUUACCUUUCCUUGCACAGAAAAAUACGAAAAAAAAAAACUUCUUAAAAAACUAACCGUUAAGCUCCCCUCCCACCAGCUCAGUCCACUCCAUUUCCAUUCCUACACUGCCCACCCUUCCCUGCUGACAUUCUUUUCCUCCCGACUAAAACUCUUGAAAAAGCCCUCUCUUAAACUCUCUUCUCAAACAGAGAGGGCCUCUUUCAAAUUAUUCUUUAGAAGGUGAAAGAAAACAGCAGAAGUUACAGAUCAACAAAGGGAAAAAGUUGAACUCAGAAACAGAAAAAUGGAUUCAACUCAAAGAAGAAAAAGUGGGAUUAACCUUCCAGCUACAAUGUCUGAGACCUCUCUUCGGCUGGAGGCCUUCUCAUCCGCCUCCCCGGCUCGAUCAGUAUCGAAUUUGCCAUCACCUAUGACAAUGUCACCAAGAACUAUAUCCAAUCUUUCAUCCCCUUCAUCAAAAUCUACGAGUUGCAGUGACAGGUUUAUUCCUUGUAGAUCAUCAUCGAGGUUGCACACGUUUGGGCUGAUAGAGAAAGCGUCGCCAGUGAAGGAGGGAGGAGGAGGAGGCAAUGAGGCUUAUUCGAGGUUGCUGAAAUCUGAGCUUUUUGGGACUGAUUUUGGUUGUUUUUCUUCUCCUGCAGGUAAGGGGUCACCAUUGAGUCCUAACAAGAAUAUGCUGCGGUUCAAGACUGAGGUUUCUGGGCCUAAUUCUCCUUAUUCGCCUUCUGUCCUGGGGCAGGACAGUGGGCUUUCCGCUGAGGUUUCAACCCCUCCUAAACCGCCUCGAAAGGUUCCCAAGACACCCCACAAGGUAUACGACUUACUUUAGCCUUCAAUUUUGAUUGUUAAAAAUUGUCAAUUUUGCUGACCCCUAACAAUACUAACAUAAAUACGUGAAAAUCCAGCGAUAAAUUGACAAAAAAGGAUUGAGAAACGUUAGCGUGGAAUUUUUAGAUUUUGUAUGUAUUAAGUAAUUGGGGAAGUGAGCAAAAAGGGUGAAGCAAAGUGCAUAGUGAUUGUUAAUCGACCAUGUGAUUGUUUGCCUAGAUACCUGGGGGACCCUCCUUUAAUCUACUCCUGAGCACCAUUAGGCAAAAUUGUACUAAUUGAUUAUAGCGGCCUUUGGUUUGGUACAGAAUUUCAAUGCUUUUUCAUGUUCAUAAUACUGUCUGGAAAAAAAGAAAUUGCAGCUUAGCAAUAGUUUGAUGGUCCAGAGAAUUUUCUCUGCUUUGUUACGCCAUUUUGGUUUGAUGUCUUAUGGAGGACUGCCCUUCUGGUGUCUGUAGUUAAGCGUUUGGUUUAUUUAAAGAAAAGCUUUUGCCCUUAUUCAUUGAACUUGAAGCAAAGAGUGAUAGAGUAUUAUUCAAUCAUUAAGGCCUCUACGACUGCAGGUUCUUGAUGCGCCAGCACUUCAAGAUGACUUCUAUCUGAACCUAGUUGAUUGGUCAUCUCAAAAUGUCCUUGCAGUUGGCUUAGGAACUUGUGUCUAUUUAUGGAGUGCCUCAAACAGUAAGGUGAGUUGAUGGUUAAAAGAUCUUAAUCUUCUUUGUUUCAUCAGGGUGAAGUAUGUUAUUAUAAUUUGCUGCAAACAAGAAAGUAUUUAUCAAAAGCAGCAGUUACUGAUUUUCCUCUCAACUCCAUAUUUCUAUUCCCUUCUAAACCAUUUUAGGUAACAAAGCUGUGCGACUUAGGACCUAAUGAUGGUGUCUGCUCAGUCCAAUGGACCCGAGAGGGUUCCUACAUUUCAAUUGGCACAAAUCUUGGUCAAGUUCAGGUAUAAUGUUUUUUCUUUCUUUUAACAUAUUAGGGGAGGGGUAGUACAUCGUGCGCACCUUUUGAUGUCUCGGAUAUUAUUUGAAUUUGGAAGCGACUGAGCAUAGUGCUAUCCUCAGGUUUGGGAUGGAACUCAGUGCAAAAGGGUCAGAACCCUGCCUGGGCAUCAAACAAGAACUGGAGUCCUAGCGUGGAGUUCACGCAUAUUAUCUUCAGGAAGCAGAGAUCGGAACAUACUACAACAUGAUCUCCGAGUACCGAAUGAUUUUAUAAGCAAACUUUCUGGCCACAAGUCUGAGGUAACAGACAGCCAUAUUGUCAUUUGCCUGUAGAAACUCAAAUCUAACCAAUGAGUACUUCAAGGGAAUGUCAAGAUAGCUAACAUUUACUAAUGUCCCCCGACUCAGGUAUGUGGUCUUAAAUGGUCUCAUGAUGAUAGGGAACUCGCAUCUGGAGGAAAUGACAAUCAGGUAGGCAAGCUGAAUGUUCUCUUCACAUUGACAGAAUUAACUAAGCAAUGCUGUAAUACUCUUCUUUUAUAAGUGACGUGCAGCUUUUGGUCUGGAAUCAGCACUCCCAACAGCCAAUUUUGAGACUCACAGAGCACACUGCUGCUGUAAAGGCGAUUACCUGGUCUCCUCACCAGAGUGGGCUCCUCGCUUCUGGUGGAGGAACUGCUGAUAGGUGCAUUCGAUUCUGGAAUACUACCAAUGGCAAUCAAUUAAAUAGUGUGGAUACAGGAAGCCAGGUUUGUGGUAAAAUUUUUUUUUAAUAGCCAAGAGAAUUCUUGAUUGCUUAGAAUGGUUACGCUACCACAUUCUAUGCAGCAUAUCUUGAAUUUCCAGAGGGAUUUUGUGAAGAGGGUUUAUGCUUUUCUGAUGCGUUCCGUUCCAUACAUACCUGUAGGUAUGCAAUCUAGCAUGGAGUAAGAAUGUGAAUGAACUAGUCAGCACUCAUGGGUAUUCGCAGAAUCAAAUUAUGGUAUGGAAGUAUCCAUCAAUGGCAAAGGUAGUAGACUUCCUGGGCCAAUUUUGAACAAUCAAUAUUCUUUGAUUUUGAAGGAAACCACCCUGAAUAUGUUAUCCAAGUUCCAUAAAUUGUUUUUCUGCAUUGACUUCGACAGGUUGCAACUUUAACUGGCCACAGUUUGCGGGUGCUCUAUCUUGCUUUAUCACCUGAUGGCCAGGUACUGCAGCAUGAAACAGAAGGUCUUGUUGAGAAUAUAUUUCUCUUAUGCAAAGUAAACAAAUGAAUACCACAAUCUUUUUUUCCCCACAGACAAUCGUGACUGGAGCAGGUGACGAGACAUUACGGUUCUGGAAUGUGUUCCCAUCUAUGAAAACACCUGUAAGUGUACCAUGUAGCCGUAGAAUAGAAUUUUAUGAUCAAGAUAUGCUAUCAUGCAAGAACUUCCUCUUAUCAUGCCUUUCCAAAUAAGGCGCAUGCAUCUAACUAGUAAUCUUUCAGGCACAGGUGAAGGAUACGGGGCUUUGGUCUUUGGGAAGAACUCAUAUUCGGUGACAAUUUAGAAUAAUUGUUCAGGGUGCAAGCUGCUGGGCAAAAGAUUUUAGCAAGCUGUCCAUAUGUUACGCUUUUUCACCAACAGAUUUAUGAUUGAAAAGUUUGGCAAGAAAAAUGGAAUUCUUCUGAAAUUUUUUGAGGCUAACAAUUUUUUUUUUUUUUCAAUUCAUACUAUUAAUUCGUCUGAUCUUGCAAUUUUGCAAAAGAAAAAUGUAAAAGCAUAGACCUAGAAGAUACUAUUAAUGAACUGAUUAGUCCGCAUAAUGAGCGGUACAAAAUAUGAGGGAGAAUUUCUCCAGAUAAUAGAUAUUAUCUAUCGAACUAGCAUACUUUGCCAUCAUCACAUGGUCUGUAAUAUUUUAACAAUCCCUAGGCACCUAACUAGUUUCCCAACUGGAAAAAUGUUGCAAUGCAUUUGCCACAUCAGCAACUAGAAUUCCUAUUUAUAUCUGAGUUUUAUCAUCAUCAUCAUCAUCAUCAUCAAUCAUUCAGACGGGAUGUUGGGGGUGGACAUUUUCUGAUACAAUCCAGUAUGCAUGUUGGAUGAAUAUUUCCGUCCCCGUUACAUUUGUUAGCACACCCGGCGGCGCAGUCCUCAUAGACGCCCUCCGUACCGAUUUUUUCUCUAGGAAUUGGCGGGUCUGCUAUUGCCCCCGCCGCCACCACCAUCCCAAUUAUCAUCAGACCAAGAAAACUCGUCUUUCCCGCUUCCAUUGGCUGCAUUUCUGUCUUCGUAAGCUGCAAAAAGAACAGGACACAUUUUCUAACAUAACUCGGGAGACAUUUUAUACUUGAAAACAUUGAACAACUUGCUUGUAAUUGAAUGUCUUUUGCAUGUAAAUCGCUUGCUCCCACGACCGGAUCCCUAGCAAUUCAAACAGUGGCACAGCUGGGAUCUAGGUUCAGGGAUUAAUUUUCGACGUCACGUCAAAUGUAGUUACGAUCAACAUUUUACAAUUUUCCCUUAUGUUAAUUAAUUAUAUUUUGAAGUCUAAAUUGUGCUAUAAUAUAGCGAUAGUUUAGAAACGUAAUAGCAGUCUCGAACUUCUAAUUUUACAUCAAUAUCUCUAAUCUUAAUUAGAUCCAACGUUCUUUCAAAGUGUAAGAAUUAAGAAUUUUUUAUAUUAUUGAACGGACAAUAUAGAUAAGAAAAAGACUUGUCAAAAUUUUAAAGGAGCAAUGUCGACAAGAAAAAGAAUUUUAAAAAUUUUUGAAUGUGAAAAUAGGGAAUAGCUUAAAAAAUUUCCAGAGUUUCCGAACUUUGAAAAAAAAAAAAAAAACUCUGUCAAAGUUGAGAGGGUACACUGCCGAUCCUCAAUUACAAUUUUUUUUUUAAGAAAAGAAAUCUCACUUAUCACGUGAUGGUAGAAAAAAUUAAAUAAAUAGGACACUUGGCAUAAAUAUAAAAGUGGCACUGAAUUGCCACUGGAAAAGUGGCACUGAGAAUCCCGUGUGCCAAAAUUCCACACAUUAUCAAGUGAUGAUGUAACCAACACCCCAAAUGUUGCUGGCCACCACUAAGUCCUCAAGGUUUGGUGGGAUGGAAGGUCAAGCAUUCAACUCUUGACUCUCAACAAUUGUCACAAUAUGUGAUCUUUUUAUGCAUUCGUCUGAUCCGACAGUGAUUUAAAUCUCCAUCAAUCCUUCGUAGACAAGCGACAAUGCAUUAAACUUGCAAUGUAAGGGUAUACUGAUUAGGCCUAGUACUUGUGUAACACAAAAAUAGUUUUCCACCACGUCCGUUUACCAUUAAAAUUUCUAAUACAUGAAUAAAUAUUGAGAAUGUCCAAAGAACACAUCUUGGCUUUGCACAUAUAAAAACGGGAGGUGCAAUUGCCCUGCCUCCUUCAUCAAUUGAAAAGCAUCCCAGAUGGCAGAGCAGUGGAGCGUGGAGGGCAAGUCUGAACACACUCGUCUACACAUGUUUGGUUGAGAAAUCCUCUAGAAGUACAGGUAACAUAACAUUUGUAGCGGCAGCACUGAUUUGGUGUAUCUGGAACGCAAUGCAUGAGACAAUUGUUUGCACAGGUUUCGUUGAUGAAUCCCCCACGAGCACAGUUCACAUCGCAUUUGUAUCGGCAGCAUUCAUCGAGCGGCACAUUCUCAACUGUUGAUGAUUCUUUGCCCAUCACUGACUGUGCUAUUAUUGCCACUGUCAACAGUGUCAUGAGUUCUACAGCAAUCUUCCCUGCCUCCAUUUUAUCUACUGCUAGUUCUCUUCUUUGUGACUCGCUAAAGAUAAUAACAUUUGAUAACAUAUCUUAGCACUUAAUUCAUACUCUAUAAUAAAGAAAAGGGUUCAAGAAGUUAAUUCCAAGAUUUGGGCAUUUAAUUGAGUAGCUUUGAAUGGCAUCAAAUCAAUUACACUUCCUAUGAGCAGUGUACAAAUACCUUGUAUACAAUAUAGUACAAGGCAACCUUGUGUAUGUAUUUCAGGCAGUAAAUCUUGUUAAUAAGUUGGCCAACAAUGGCGGAACCAAACUAUUGGUCAGUGGGGACACUAGCGGUACUUAUUUGAGUCUAAAUCGGUUCUCAAAAAACUGAGGAAAGAUUGUAAAUGUAUUUCUUUUUCACAUUAUUUCACAUUCCUUCUUUACCUGAUUGUUAAUGCCUUUUACGACAGGGAUUAAUGCUAAUUUGAUUUUGUUUCUAUUUGAAGAUUUUGUGGGUGUUAGUUCCUGUAGAGUAAUUAACAAAAUUAAAUUGGGGGAGAGGGGUGUUUGGGGACAACAGCCUACUUUCAACAACGCUACUGCUGGCUAACCAUUUCUACGAAAUUAAAAGCCAGACAUGCUAAUCUUUUCUAGUAAUGAUGCUUUGACCUUUCUGUAUUUUGUUUUGGCAUUUCACAAAAAGGACAUAGUUAAAGUUAAUCAAAUGAAAAUCCAUGUCCUUAAGAUCCAUUGCAGUUGAAAAGCACAUUAAUCAGGUAGUCUCCCCUUUUUCCCUUACCUCUAGUAAUGAAUUUCUUUUCAUGAACAUUAACCUCUUUAACAAAUGUAAAAAAAAUUUUGGCAGCUAUACCACAAUGGAUAGGGUAAAAGUUGGAACAAAAGCUUAACUUCAGAUCAUAGUUCUCUCUUCAUAUCCGCAUUAAAUUUCUGACAUGACGUUAUGUCUUGUACCUGAAAAAUUAACCAACGGCCAUUUUGAAUUAUUGACCAUCACAAAUGCUUUUAAGUGUUUUUGUGAGAUGGGACGUCAAGAAUUUGAUCAUUACCUCUCAUUACUUGUCACUAAAAUAUGACUUCUCUAAAUCCAAACGAGUAUAUAAAGUAUCCGUCUGAUUCGAUAGUAAUUCAGUUCUCGUCGUUCCCCCAUGACUCAAUUGAGCCCUCACUUAGACAGAUCAGUUUAAUUGUAGGAAUAGGAAUAAUAUAGAAAGCAUGAAUUGAUUAAAGAAAAAAAAAUGAAAAAUCUUUAUCCAGACCCAAUCUUGUGGAUCAUGUCUCACAAAAAUAUGGUCUCACUGUCGAACCCUUUAGUGGCCUAUAAACUAUACAAGUUUUGUUUUAAUCAAUUAGCAACAUUUAUUCUAUCCAUCUAAAUAAAAUGGGUGUUUUGAUAUCGUUCUUUGAAUUCUUUUAACGGUAGGGUGCAAGAUUUGAACCCCAACUUACAACUCAAAAAGCGAUUUUAAAUCUUUUUGGUGUCCGUAAAAUCAAAGAUAACAAAAUGUGCCAAACUUGCUUUCCCCCAAGAAAAAUGAAAAAAAAAAUGUUAAACUUCAGUUAUCAACGAUCUUAAUCCUUGGAACAUUGCGUUUUGAGUUGAUUUGCAAUUUUUUUUUUUUUUACAAAAAUUAAAGGGAAGAAACUAAGGCUUUAUUUAUCAUAUGAUCACUAAUACAAGAGACCGAAAUUUCAAACAGCACAAAAGCUUUUCCGUAAAGCUUAUUUUCCGAAAGAAAAAACUAGCCAGACGGCUUUGCAUGAGAUGCCGUUGCGAUGGAUUCUGGAGGACACUUCUUGAGACAAUUCUCCACACAUUGUUCAUUGAUAAACCCACCAAAAUCACAGGCAACAUCGCAUCGGAAACGGCACUCGGAGCUUGGCGACUCCUUGCCGAUGGGUUCGCCGUCCACUGCUGAGCUUGCCAUUGCCAGCGUCAGUAGUAUCGUCAGACCUACGCUUACCGUUCUUGCCUCCAUUUGAUGUAGCUCUCUUUUUACUAGUAUUUGCCUAACUUGAGACAUCUGACAGUGAUAUGAUGACCACGAGGUAUUUUAUACUUUCAACACAAGAUGCAAGAAGUUAAUUCAAAGAUUUGAGCAAUGUAAAUUGAAUAAUUUUGGAUAAUGUCAAAUUUAAUGGCGUCUAAUUUUAUGAGUAGAUUCUGACGCGUGAUAUCAGUCUUUACGUCUAUAUUUUAUCCUAUCCUAACAAUAAUAUAAAGAUGCAAAUCGGUUGGAUGAACAGUGAAUUUCGUCCCCUAUCAACACCAUUGGUGUGUGGAUUCUUUGGUCAUUUCACAUGGAUUUUAUGCUGAUGGGUUUCCACGGUUGCACAUAUUUUUGGCUGCAAUUCGUUGAUACCUUUUUCAUGCUACCCUUGGAUGUCACUUUUACCCCUGAUGGAGUAAUUAUCCAAAAGAAAUAGAGUUGGCUUUAUGAUCUUUUGGUUCGGUCCAACUCUUUCAGACACCUGCUGUAUCAUGACAUGGCUAGGCUUCCAAUUUUGCGGUGCGGCUAAUUUAAACCACUUGGCACAUCUCUUUAUGUUCCGAUGAAUAGAUUAUUUCUGCACAAUUCUGCUUCCAAGAUAUCAGUACAGUGACCUCUGCCUCAAUCUCUGCUCCCACUUCAGCUCAAGCUAACUGAGCUCUCAAAGAAAAUAGAGAGCCAACUAAAACAACACAAAGCGAAAGGAACCUGCAAGCAGCAAAAAAUCCACUAAAGCAUGCAAAACUAGAAUAAAUGCCCUCUUCAUCCCCAGCUUCAAAAGCCUCCAACUGUUGUUAUCAGCCUUUGCAGACCAAAGAAUAAAAGCAGCAGAGGCUCCACUCUUUUGUCAAGGCUAUAUUUUGGGUACAUGUCAAAUAUGGCACAUGGUUUAAAGCUCAGAACAACUGGAAGGGUGAAAAUAAAACUAAAACCGUCCCGUUUGCACUAAAUCCACAUAUCAUCUACAACGUUGCCUCGAGCUCUUCCAGGUAGGAUCGAAUACACUAUUGCCAACAAUUUGGCAUACGCUAAUUUGGAAUACAAGCAAUUUGUAAUACAAACAAUUUGGCAACAAUUUGGAAUACAGAAUUUCUGCAUUCUGUUCACAUUUGUAUUCAUGCUCUAUUAAAUCCAGAAGAAACAAGCAACGUCAAACAUCAUUUUUUCAAAGACAAUAAUCCUUGGCAAAUCAAGUAUAUUUCUCUGGAGCAUGACCUCGUAGCUUUAGGUCUCAACCGUGCUGCCUUUUUGAAAAGGGGUUUGCAGAUGUGACUAAAAUCUGCAAAGCAAAUGAUAGUACUUCAUAAGUCUAUUACACGCAAAUUACUUCAGACCAAUAAGAAUAAACUGCUCUGAGUAACAGGAAAGCAACCUUUAACAUCUUCACUCUCCAAAAGCUUUACAACAAGGUGGCCUCCAGGCAGCAGAAUCCCACGAUGCUCUGGAUCAGAACCAGAGACAUCUGAUUGUUCCUUUUGUUCAAUACUAUCAUCAGCCUGCACCAAGCCAGCCUCCCCAACAGCCAAUUCAAGUGUUCGCAUGCCCAAUUCUGCAGACAAAGCUGCAUCCCUAGCUCUGAUCCCAGAAACCAGCGGACACAUAUCAGACAGAAUGACUGAGAACCCUUUUUGCUGCAAAAAAUUGGAACCAAUUAAGGACCAGCUAAGGAGUUUGCCUCCAGAAAGCAUAGAGCUGACUCACAGAUAUCAUCACAAAUGCAACUAUGCCAUGAUGUCACAUAGAGCUGCAGAAUACAAGGACAUCUACAAUGCCGAGAAAGAGAAAAUAUGUGCAUGUGCAAAAUAAGGAGAAAAUUUCCCUUUUUCUACAAACAUAAUUAUUAUUGCAAUGCCAGAAGGUUCCGGGCCCCAAAUCAAAUUAGUAACAUAAUUCUUGGCAUGAUAUAAGUAGCAUAUUUCUUCAGCAAUCACUACAAGUAUUUACUCUCGAGUCCAUAUAGUAAAAGCAAAGAAAACAGACGUCUAGAUUGCAACUAGGAAGACGCAUUUCUUGCCCAAUAACUCCCCAAUUCACUGCAAUGUUGUUAUCAACUCUGUCCAAAUAUUGGGUACUCCAUCUAUUAUCAUGGAAUCCGUUGAGAGAAGGCCAAAACUCAGCUAACUCUAGAGAGGGAGGAUCAUCAUAGAUUCUUAGUAUAUACUCUGUUCUUCUUAAUCAGUGACCAAGAUGACCAAUGCACUUUCUAACUCAAGAAAAGAAUCAAAUAAAUUUUCUAUUUCAGUUAACCACAAUAUAUCAGAAGUCAGAACUGCAAACUGCAAACAUGAAACUCAAUUUUUGACAAUACCUUGGGGGAGAGAGCCCUAAUUUGAUCUUUGGGUAAGCUCAUUACAUCAGCACAAACAGUCUGAACCCUUGCAUCACAAUGCAUUGACGGAACCUUCACCUUCUGCUCUGCACCACAGCCAUAACUCUCAUUAAGUCACAAUCUCUCAUUACCCCGCCAAGCUUAACGAAACUACCAGCAUACAUUCACAAAAUAAGUUUCACAAAUACACCAAGAUAUAAUAAAGAUUGGAACUUGACAGUAACCUUAAGAUCGAUCCCCACAACAGCCCCGCCUUUCUGUAAUGGUCCCAAGCUCUGGCAUGCCACCUGCAUCGCAAUUACAGAUAAAUAAUCCUAGAAGCCCACUUUUUUCUUCAUCAAUCCGAAAAAACACCAACUUUAGAUGAAAAGAAAGAUCAAACUAUUAAAAAAAGAAAAACGGUAGAACCUGAAGCCAAGCACCAGGAGCACAGCCCAGGUCAAGAACAGAAGAACCAGGCGUUAUCAAUUUGUACUGUUUCUGCAUUUGCAGCAACUGCCCUUCCCAUCACAGAAUUUGUAGUUUUUCAAAAUGUCAGAGCAUGACCAAAUCCAACUACGAAAUGGGUUUUUCUCGUAAUGUGUUUAAGAUUAUAAAUUUCAUAUUCAAUUUGUUCUGGUAGCAUUUCAUAUCCAGUUUUAUGAUUUCUUCAUUUUUAGCUCUUUUGUGGGGAAAAAAAUUCAACAAAAUUUACACAAGUGGGGAAGGAGAAAAAAUUGAACUGUACCUUGAAGGCAGAGCGAGCGACAUAGCCAAGGCGUUGAGCUUCUCUGUAGAAGAAAUCGGGCGAUCCUGCUGCUCCACUCAUGGUUCCUCUCCUUUUCUGCUUUUGCUGCUACAUCCUUCUUGGGGGUUUAAAAUAGGGCUUAUGGAAAUUAUUUACGUUUUGAAACUUGAAAGUCUGGGGUGGGGCUGCUAGUCGAUGUUGGAUCGGGUCCGAAGAAAAAGUAGAGCUGUAAACGAACCGAAUCGAACCGAGUAUCUCAUGUUUGAGCUUUGUUCGUUAAGCAGUUCGAACAACGUUCGUGUUCGUUCGUUAAUUUUCGAACUCCAAACAUAUGUUCGUGUUCGGCUCGUUAAGCAAAAUUCGUGUUCGAGUUCGAGUUCGUGUUCGACUCGUUUAACAUAAAUGAGCCGUUCGCGAACAUGCUCGAAAUGCUCGAAUCCAAAUUAUUUUAACCCUUAAAUAUGUCAUGCAAAUUAUUAACCAUUCUAAAAAACAAUUAAAGCACUAAGUGACUAAAUUCUAUUAUUCAUUAACUAUAUAACUAACAUUAACAUAAAAAUAACAAAUAAAACAAAGCAAUUUGCCCUCCAAAUAUAAAAGUCCAGCCAUAAAAUUAACCCUAAAAUUUAUCAAAUGAUAAUUAUGUCCAUGUUCGCGAACGUUCGUUAAAACUCACGAACAUAUUCGUGUUCGCGAACGUUCGUUUAGUAUGUUCGCAAACGUUCGUUAAAACUCGCGAACAUGCUCGUGUUCGCUCGAUUAUUAAUCGAACAAAAAAAUUCGUUCGAACUCGGUUCGUUUAAGAUUUCGAACGAGCCUUUCACGAACACGAACGAGCCGAAACGAACCGAGCUACCGAACAGCUCGGUUCGUUUAACAGCUCUAAGAAAAAGUAACACCUGCUACUUCAAACUCCGCAGAAAUUGGAGUUGCUCGACUCCAAUUGGAAUAAAUUAUCACAUUUUACCAACUUGUCUUUUUGGUACAAAAAACAGGCUCUAAGAUUAAAUUGAAUUGUAUUAAGAUGCAUCUUCCUUAGUAUUAUUCUGCAUGCUAUAUUAGCCUUAAAUGGGAUGUAAAUAAAAGAUCGAUGGGCUACCUAUGCUAUUAGGUGCUUAAAAUGAAAAAAAAAAAAAGAAAAAAGACAAACGCUAUUUCUGUAUUCAAGGAUGGAGGAGCCACCUUCUACUCAGAGCGAGCAAUUGCACUCCCUUAAUGUUGCAAAUUUUAAAAAAUAGACUUUACAAAUUUUUAGGUUAUUUUCAUAAUUGCACCCCCUCAAUUUUUACAUUUCCCCCUCACCCACCGUCACAUUAUUACUUCCCGAAGCAACCACCGCAUCAUCUAUCCUAUAUACUACAUUGCCUCAAAGCUAUUAAAUAACAAUUAAUAACAAAAUUUUGUUAUUAAGGACACAUAAUCUCAAAUCGAAUAAAAAAUUUUUUGUUUUUGACAUAAUGGCAACAUCAUUAUAAGCGUACAAUUUUGUCUCUAUUGACUAUAGGUCAAUAGACUCCAUCAUUGUUUAUAUCUCAAGAUUUUCUUGGAAAAUGGCUCUAGUUUGUUAAGAGCUGCUAGAAACAUACACGCUUCAAUUAACAUAUAUUAUGACCCAUCUUAGGUCAGUGUUAAUACAAAAUUUAGGACAAAGCAUAGCAAGGUUGACAGAGUAGAUCCAUCCCAUAUCGGUUGAUCGUGGGGUAUUUACUUUGGGUUUAAGGUCCAUAGGAGCACCUUCUUGUCACCAAUUGACUCGGUGGGUGUUUCUUGUAGGUACCCCUUAGAUUGCUUUCGGACCGGUUUGCUGAUGCUUGCUGCGUGUCAAAUCAUUGUUUGUGUGUGUGUUUUAUUUCGUUGCGGAAAAAAAAAAGAAAAAGGCAGAGUAGAUGGCAAGUAAGUUCCUUCCUGCGCGCAGUGCCCAAAAUUGAAAAGAUCGGAUCGGACCAUUUGCAUGCAUGCAUGACUUGCUGAGAUCUUGCGGGGAGGGACUCAAACAAUUCUCUAGUUAUGGCAGGUAAAAAUCCUUCGUCCUGCCAUUAUGUUAUGGCAGGUAGCCUCUAUCGUGGCUAGUCAAUGGGCAAACCAUGAUGAAUCUUGAAAACCGGCUAACUCAACCAUAACUAGGGAUAGGGGAAGGUUCCUGGGAACUCGGGUGUUUUUGAGUAGGGAUGAUAUCUGCAUUGCAUGUUCUCCAUCACCAAUAAUAUUUACAAUGUCGCUGAUGUCUUCAAUGUUACGUUUGAGAGGGUUUUUUUUUUUAAUUCAUUUUUUAACUGAAAUCACGGAUUUUGAAUUAAUCAUUUAGAAGCUUGAAUACUAUAUAAUUUGCACGACAUCUUUACUUCGGCAUAUCUUAAGCUUUUUCUCUCUUUUUUUUUAAAUUAAUAUCCACGGAUCAAGUGUUGGAUGGCUACUUACUAUCAUUUAAAGAAAGAAAAAAAUAAAACAAUUGCUGGAUAGCUGAAUAGCUAGUAAAAGUUGUUUAAUUAAUUAGGUAAUCUAUGUCAACACGCAUGUAUGAUCACGAAGUCUAUAAACUUCUAAUAUUUUAGAUAUAGCAUUCCUUUAUUAUUAAUUUUGUUUUUAGCCUAGUGGAUGAAUAGGGCUGUCAACGGGGCGGGUCCGGGCCGGAAUUCAUUAUUCCGGACCCGGACCCGAAUUACUAUGCCGGAUCCGGAUCCGACCCGUUUAUCCGACGGGUCUUUUAUUCUAUGUUCCGGACCCGGAUCCGGCGGGUCCCGGAUCCGAAUCCGAGUCUACCCGAACAAAUUUACCAAAAUUUAUAAUUUCUAAUAAAAAUGAGAAAAAAAUAUAUUUGUAAACUAAUUUCUAACUAAUGCAAAGAAAAAACCAAAUAAGAAAAGAAAUCAAAUUAACUUUAUUAAAAUACAUCACCCUAAUCAAAUUAUAUUAAUAAAUAUAUAUUUUUUAAAUUAUUAAUUCAUUUAUAUCCGGAUCCGGGUCUAAUACGGGUCGAAAUACUAUAUUCCGUAUCCGACCUGUUUUUUUGUUUGACAAAACGGAUCCGGAUCCGGGAAACGGAAUUAAAUCCCUACCCAUAACCGCAAUAAUUUCACGGAUCCGGUCCGGAUCCGGAUCUAGACCCGACCCGUUGACAGGCCUAUGGAUGAACAUCUAAUUAGUGACGCACAUUAAAAACAUAUUAUUGUGUUGAGAAGGCCUUAAAAAAAGACACAAAUGCUAAAUCACACGCGUUCAUACAAGAAAGUUGGGGAACGUCUUUUGGGUCUCAUGAGAAUGGUGCGCACUGACGUUAAUAAAACAAUUAAAUUAAUGGUUCCAGAAGUUGGUCAAACGAGAUGUAUAGAUUGGCAAAUAAAAUACUCACUCCACAACUUUCAGAUGUCUCACUGACCACUGGUAUUGUGACUGUGAGUCUCCCCCGACGUUACCAUUGUACUGCAGCAUUGUUGCCAGAAAGUAUGCAGUCCAACACCACUAAUAAUCAUUUGGGGCCAUUAAGAGAGUUUUAAAAUUUUAUUUGGGUGUAUGUCAAGCGAUCAAAUCCCUUGAUUUAUAUGCUAAAUAUCCCAAAUUUCCUGAAAAUAUUUCAUCAGCGGAUACGUAGGUAUCCAUUUAGGCCGGUAGUAAUCAGUCCCCUCCGAGUUCCUCGCUUGACCCCUUUGAAUUUCCCUUCCCCUGGUAUUACUAGAGUACGAGCAAAUGUAAAACAGAAUCUAUUGUGUCCGAUUAAAAAAAAAAAAAACCUAAAACAAUGAAGCAUUGACACGUUUUAACAGUCAAAAUGGAGCCUUUCAAAGAUGGCUAGUACUAGUAGCAUUGUUUAUGUUUCCUGGAUUGUGAGAUGAGUAACGCGUCUCCGCGUUUAGCAAGAAUUCUAAUGGGUGGUCUGCCAAGUCUAUCUAUUGGAGCGUUAUCCGCAGGCUUAGUCUAAACAAACGGUAAUGAAAAUGCUUAUCUUGUCGGCGCAUACAUUACAACCUUUCAAAACAUAUAUACUAGUAAUAGCCAAUCCAAUUGAUGCAUGAUUACACGGUGCAUUGGUUUGUUAAAUCGUCAACAACAUCAGACAUGACAAAACUCACCUACUCUCACGAGUCUAUUCCAAGAUUUGGAAUGGAACAGAAACAGUUGGAUUCAGGUAUGCACUUACCUCAACUAACGAGAAAACAUACAAGUCAAUUGCUCGUGCAAGUGAACUGGAUGUUUCCACCCGUCCUCAAAGAAGCUGAUUGAAGCGAGCCAAGACUAGCAUAUCUGCCCCUAAAGACAAGAAACAAGCACUAAUUUUUAAGAACAUGAGCAGUUGAAUCAAUGUGAACUUCUUCAUAAGGCAACAACUAUGAAAGUUAAAAGGCCCUCAGAGUUCCCAUGAACAGUUGUAGGAGGAUGUUACUUUGGCUGUCUGGCAACAAAAAUUCUAAAACAAUCUUUUACCAUUUUCAUUCACUGAACUUGACUGCUAAUUACAGAUACCAGAGAAUGCAUGUAUAAAAGCUCUCCAGUUCUACUUUAUUUGACUUCUACGAAUCUUGU